rnacentral:misc_RNA from 1 species
GAUGAAGAACGCAGCGAAAUGCGAUACGUAAUGUGAAUUGCAGAAUUCAGUGAAUCAUCGAGUCUUUGAACGCACAUUGCGCCCCCUGGUAUUCCGGGGGGCAUGCCUGUCCGAGCGUCAUUACUGCCCUCAAGCACGGCUUGUGUGUUGGGCCUCCGUCCUCCUCCCGGGGGACGGGCCCGAAAGGCAGCGGCGGCACCGCGUCCGGUCCUCGAGCGUAUGGGGCUUCGUCACCCGCUCUUGUAGGCCCGGCCGGCGCUUGCCGACACAUCAAUCUUUUUUCCAGGUUGACCUCGGAUCAGGUAGGGAUACCCGCUGAACUUAAGCAUAUCAAUAAGCGGAGGA